UUAAGUGACUAAGCGUACAAGGUGGAUGCCUUGGCAAUCAGAGGCGACGAAGGACGUGCUAAUCUGCGAAAAGCUUGGAUGAGUCGAUAAGAGGCGCUUAAUCCAAGAUGUCCGAAUGGGGAAACCCAGUAGAUGAAGAAUCUACUAUCACUUACUGAAUCCAUAGGUAAGUGAGGCAAACCGGGAGAACUGAAACAUCUAAGUACCCCGAGGAAAAGAAAUCAACCGAGAUUUCGUUAGUAGCGGCGAGCGAACGCGAAGGAGCCUGUUAGUGAUAAUGACAGAGACAGAGGAACAAGCUGGGAAGCUUGGCGAUACAGGGUGAUAGCCCCGUACUCGAAGUCCAGGUCAUGGUACUAAGCUAACGAUAAGUAGGGCGGGACACGUGAUAUCCUGUUUGAAGAUGGGGGGACCAUCCUCCAAGGCUAAAUACUCCUGAUUGACCGAUAGUGAACCAGUACUGUGAAGGAAAGGCGAAAAGAACCCCGGUGAGGGGAGUGAAAUAGAACCUGAAACCUUGUACGUACAAGCAGUGGGAGCCCUUUAAGGGUGACUGCGUACCUUUUGUAUAAUGGGUCAGCGACUUAUAUUUUGUAGCGAGGUUAACCGAAUAGGGGAGCCGAAGGGAAACCGAGUCUUAACUGGGCGUCUAGUUGCAAGGUAUAGACCCGAAACCCGGUGAUCUAGCCAUGGGCAGGUUGAAGGUUGGGUAACACUAACUGGAGGACCGAACCGACUAAUGUUGAAAAAUUAGCGGAUGACUUGUGGCUGGGGGUGAAAGGCCAAUCAAACCGGGAGAUAGCUGGUUCUCCCCGAAAUCUAUUUAGGUAGAGCCUUGAGCGGACACCUUCGGGGGUAGAGCACUGUUUCGGCUAGGGGUCCAUCCCGGAUUACCAACCCGAUGCAAACUACGAAUACCGAAGAGUGAUACUCAGGAGACACACGGCGGGUGCUAACGUCCGUCGUGGAGAGGGAAACAACCCAGACCGCCAGCUAAGGUCCCAAAGUCUAUAUUAAGUGGGAAACGAAGUGGGAAGGCUUAGACAGCUAGGAUGUUGGCUUAGAAGCAGCCAUCAUUUAAAGAAAGCGUAAUAGCUCACUAGUCGAGUCGGCCUGCGCGGAAGAUGUAACGGGGCUCAAAUAUAGCACCGAAGCUGCGGCAUCAGUAGCAAUACUGUUGGGUAGGGGAGCGUUCUGUAAGCGGAUGAAGGUGGCUCGAGAGGGCUGCUGGACGUAUCAGAAGUGCGAAUGCUGACAUAAGUAACGAUAAAACGGGUGAAAAACCCGUUCGCCGGAAGACCAAGGGUUCCUGUCCAACGUUAAUCGGGGCAGGGUGAGUCGGCCCCUAAGGCGAGGCUGAAAAGCGUAGUCGAUGGGAAACGGGUUAAUAUUCCCGUACUUGGAUAAACUGCGAUGUGGGGACGGAGCAGGUUAGGUUAUCGCACUGUUGGAUAUGUGCGUUUAAGUUGGUAGGUGUGAAGUUUAGGCAAAUCCAGACUUCUUUAACACCGAGAGAUGAUGACGAGGCUCUACGGAGCUGAAGUAACCGAUACCACACUUCCAGGAAAAGCCACUAAGCUUCAGGUUUAUCUAAACCGUACUGAAAACCGACACAGGUGGUCAGGUAGAGAAUACUCAGGCGCUUGAGAGAACUCGGGUGAAGGAACUAGGCAAAAUAGCACCGUAACUUCGGGAGAAGGUGCGCCGGCGUAGAUUGUAGUCCCUUGCGGGCGAAGGUUGAACCGGUCGAAGAUACCAGCUGGCUGCAACUGUUUAUUAAAAACACAGCACUCUGCAAACACGAAAGUGGACGUAUAGGGUGUGAUGCCUGCCCGGUGCUGGAAGGUUAAUUGAUGGUGUAAUCGAAAGAGAAGCUCCUGAUCGAAGCCCCAGUAAACGGCGGCCGUAACUAUAACGGUCCUAAGGUAGCGAAAUUCCUUGUCGGGUAAGUUCCGACCUGCACGAAUGGUG
rnacentral:rRNA from 1 species